rnacentral:rRNA from 1 species
ACGGCUCAGUAACACGUGGCUAACCCACCCUUGAGACGGAGAAAACCCCGGGAAACUGGGGUUAAUCUCCGAUAAGAGAAGACACCUGGAAUGGGUCUCCUCUCAAAGGGCGCCUAGACCAUGCUUCUAGGCGUUGCUCAAGGACGGGGCCGCGGCCGAUCAGGUUGUUGGUGAGGCAACGGCUCACCAAGCCUAUAACCGGUACGGGCCGUGAGAGCGGGAGCCCGGAGAUGGGCACUGAGAUAAGGGCCCAGGCCCUACGGGGCGCAGCAGUUGCGAAAACUCCGCAAUGCACGAAAGUGUGACGGGGCUACCCCGAGUGCCGUCCGCUGAGGACGGCUUUUCCCCGGUGUAAGGAGCCGGGGGAAUAAGGAGAGGGCAAGUCUGGUGUCAGCCGCCGCGGUAAUACCAGCUCUCCGAGUGGUAGGGAUGAUUAUUGGGCUCAAAGCGUCCGUAGCCGGCCCGGCAAGUCUUCCGUUAAAUCCAACGAUUCAAUCGUUGGACUGCAGGAGAUACUGUUGGGCUAGGAGGCGGGAGAGGCCGACGGUAUUCUCGGGGUAGGGGUAAAAUCCUAUAAUCCCGGGAGGACCACCAGUGGCGAAGGCGGUCGGCUAGAACGCGCUCGACGGUGAGGGACGAAAGCUGGGGGAGCGAACCGGAUUAGAUACCCGGGUAGUCCCAGCUGUAAACGAUGCGGGCUAGGUGUUGGGGCGGCUACGGGCCGCUUCAGUGCCGCAGGGAAACCAUUAAGCCCGCCGCCUGGGGAGUACGGCCGCAAGGCUGAAACUUAAAGGAUUGGCGGGGGAG